rnacentral:ncRNA from 1 species
CGACCUCAGAUCAGCGGGACUACCCGCCGGAUUUAAGCAUAUUAUAAGCGGAGGAAAAGAAACAACCGUGAUUCCCUUAGUAGCGGCGAGCGAACCGGGAAAAGCCCAUCGCCGAUCUCGCCGCGCACUUUU